rnacentral:lncRNA from 1 species
CCGGGAACACAUAACCUCCCUUGGUACUGCAAAGUACCAUUACUACAAAUCUCAAAAUCCAUCACCGUUUGCCCACUAAUAUCACCCUUGAUCCUCAAUAUGAUAGGAUCUAACUUUUAUUUUUGCUUGAUUUCAACACCAAGAGAUGACUGCGCCACCUUCUAAAUGAACAUACCACCUUCCUUAGAGUCCAAGAGGUGAACUCCAAGGUUAGCUAAGUGGUGAAUAUCCU